ensembl:lncRNA
CUCAUGUGAGGAAGCUGAAGACAUGGCGCUGCGCAUAGGACGUGCUUCCAGAAGAGCGUCUGUGUUGGGGAUAAGUCGUCUACUUUUGUCUGCGGUUCCCUGGUGGCAGUCUAGCCAGCAUUCCCAUCAUACUCCUGGCACCUCUCUAAAGUACAUACUACGUUGCGCCGACUGCGGAAGCUGACUUCGCUGGAUGUGGACUGCACCGUUCUGGACUGUGAGGAUGGAGUUGCCCUCAACAAGAAGCAAACCUGUGCCAAUCUUUAUCCUGUCCUGCCCGCUUGGUGCCAUGUGGCAGACGGUUCAGACUACUCAGUGACUGCCACUGCCACUCAGGACCAAGGCUUAACUCACAGGCAUACACUAGCACACACAUUUUUUUAAAAAAAAUAUCUCUCCUUACUGAUAAGCAGGGGUGGGAAGUCGUCCUUUUCUCUCCUCCAGCAGGGGCUGAUGGCUACACCUGUCUUUUUUUCGCUCCGGGGGCAAGUUUGUUUAUUUUUGUUUUUUGUGUACAGAGAUGCCCUAUAGAAUGCAGCUCAGUUUGGGGCAUUCCACUCAACAGCUCCUUUCCCCCCAGUUUUUCCAUGCCCGCCUCCCCUUUCUCUCUGUGGCAGCCUCGCUCCGCACUGCCCCCCUCGCAGCUCCAAUCCCUGGAAGUUUGGAACUAAUGAACUGACUGCUGAGCUGCCGCCACGGAGCUUGGUCCCAAACUAUACUGUACUUCACACUCGAUUUAUUCUCCAGAUGGCAAGACUACGCAGCCCUGCCGGGAGGGGCCACCUCUUCCACUGAAGUGUGAAAGUGGACGGAUGUUGUUUUCGGAUCCUCUGUGAUCAGCUCCGAGCUCCCUCAAACCACCCGGCCCUGUAUGUAGAGAAUAAAUCCCCCUGCUAACAGGCA